rnacentral:rRNA from 1 species
CCUACGGGAGGCAGCAGUGGGGGAUAUUGCACAAUGGGGGAAACCCUGAUGCAGCGACGCCGCGUGGGUGAAGAAGCGCCUCGGCGCGUAAAGCCCUGUCAUCAGGGAAGAAAAUGACGGUACCUGAAGAAGAAGCCACGUCUAACUACGUGCCAGCAGCCGCGGUAAUACGUAGGGGGCAAGCGUUAUCCGGAUUUACUGGGCGUAAAGGGGGCGCAGACGGGGAUGCAGGCCAGGAGUGAAAGCCCGGGGCCCAACCCCGGGACUGCAGUUGGAACUGCGGGGCUAGAGUGCAGGAGGGGCAGGCGGAAGUCCUGGUGUAGCGGUGAAAUGCGUAGAUAUCAGGAGGAACACCGGUGGCGAAGGCGGCCUGCUGGACUGCAACUGACGUUGAGGCCCGAAAGCGUGGGGAGCAAACAGGAUGAGAUACCCCUGUAGUC